GAGAGGGAGAGAAAGAGAUCAAUGUGGACUUGAUGUCACAAUCAGACCAUGACCUGAGCUGAAAUCAAGGGUUGGAUACUCAACCAGCUGAGCCACCCAGGCGCCCUAAAUCCCAUGUUUCAGUUAGAGUAAAAGCCAUCUAUGUUUCUUCAUUCUCAACUUCUGAUCAUCACCAAGCUGAUGGAAAAAGGAACAUAGAUUUCUUUGAAAAGAGGAAGUGGAGAUCAGAGUGACUUUGAGCCCCUGAGAUGUCGCUUGAUUUCCCAGUGAUAGAGGAGGAAGAGGAGGAAGAAUAAGAAGGAGAAGGAGAAAAAGAAGAAGAGGUGGUGGUGGAGGAGGAGGAGGAAGAGGAAGAAGGGGAACAAAAAGAGGAGAAGGAGGAGGAAGAGGAAAGGAGAACCAUGGAGGCAUAGCUGUUAAGGGCUUCAUUUCACAGGAAUACUUAAUGAGAUGAAGUCAAUGACCAAUUAAGGAAAGUGUGCCAACACUAGGAUUUUCUGAGGUAGCAGAUAUUUUUGACAAACAAUAUGCCUUUAGUUGUAGUGUAUAAGACACAGCAGGGGUUCCUGGUCUAGAAAAGAUGGGAAACAAAGUGUAAGUAUAUGUUAAAUAAACAGAAACAUAGAACAAAGGAGAUGUUAUUUAUUAGGCACCAACCUUGUACCAGGUUCCAUAUAAAUCAUAGAAUUAUAGUCCAUCAAAGUAACUUCAAUUUCUAUUUAAUUGUACAGGUGUACAUUCUUGGAAGAAAACCCAUUAUGUAAACAUGAAAUUUUAUGAAGCAGAGAAUUUGGGUUUUGAUUGUUCAUUUUGAAAAAUGAU